ensembl:lncRNA
CCCCCGUCUUCCCUCUUCCUUCUCCCUCCCCCCUGCUGACCCCAUGUGCUGACCCCUGGAGUCCCCUGUACCCCCCAUGCCCUUCUCCCUGACCUCUGGAGUCCGCUCCCCCAUUUUGACCCCCAGUAUCCCCCAACGGGACCCCCUUUAUGUCCCAUUGAAGCCCCCCCACGACCCCCAGCUCUCCCCUCCCUCCACCCCUCAGAAGCCGCACUCACCCCCCCAGAUUCCACACAACCCCCUCUCCACCCCCAGACUCCCUUUCCACCCCACAGAAGCCCCACUAACCCCUUUCCCCCCCCCUUCAGCCCCCCUUUUCCCCACUUAGAAUCGUGCCGAGGGAUCUGGAGACGUCCUAGAGAGGUUUGGGGGCAUCCAGGGGGUUCUGGACUCAUGCAGAAGAGUCUGGAGAUGUCCAAGGAGGAUCCAGGGAGUCCCCAGGCCUGCCUGCAGCUGGACCCGGUGACACCGGAGCCCUGUGGCGCUGUCACCAUCCUCUGUCCCGAGGACGGGAGGUGAACUCUGUGCCACCAGCAGAGGGGACCACGGGUGACAUCAGUGUGGAACAGCCGUGACGCGGCGGCGUUGUCAUUGGGUGUCACCGUCACGCAAAAGGGACAAAAGGACCCCCCUGGGGGCAUUGCGUCGAAGUUGGGGACACCGUGAGCAGCUUGAGGACUUCCCAGGGGAAGUGGGGGCACCGCGUCACCGUGUCACACCCCAAAGUUGGGGACGCCCCCGCAGUGUCACACCCCAAAGUUGGGGACGCCUCUGUGUCACCCCAAUGGUGUCCGACCCCAAAGCUGGGGACACUCCACAGUGUCACACCCCAAAGUUGGGGACACCCCGACAGUGUCACAUCUCAAAGUUGGGACAGCUCUGUGUCCCCCCGAUGGUGUCAGACCCCAAAGUUGGGGACGCCCCGACAGUGUCACAGCCCAAAGUUGGGGUCUGUCCCAGAGCUGGGAGUGCCCCCACAUCCCCACCAUGGCGUCACAUCCCAAAGUUGGGGACCCCCCUCUUGGGACCCAUUCUGUGCGUCCCCCAUUUCAGACCGCACUGUUGCCAUGGGGUGGGGGCGGGGGGCACCCUUUAUUUUUGGGGUUAAGGUUUAUUUCGUGAUAACGGGGGUUUGGGGAAUGCCCCCCCCCACGUGAAUAAAGGGCAGAGGAGCGGCUGUGGGCUCCGUGUGUCACACCGGGGGGUGCUUUGGGGACACUGCAGCAUCCCAGCCCCAUAGGCCCCAUGGCCCUAUAACCACUACAGCCCCAUCUCGUAGCCAUCCCAUAUCCAUAUCCCAUCCCAUAUCCCAUCCUGUAUCCAUAACCCUUCCAAUAUCCAAACCACCAUAUCCGUCCUACACCCAUAGCCCAAAUCCAUCCCAUAUCUGUAUCCCAAAUCCAUCCAGUAUCCAUAUCCCAAAUCCAUCCCGUAUCCAUAGCCCAAAUCCAUCCCGUAUCCAUAGCCCAUCCCAUAUCCAUAUCCCAUCCCAACUCCAUGCCAAAUCUCUUUCUAUAUCCAUAUGUCCUUAUCCAUCCCAUAACCAUCCCAAAUCCAUCUCAAAUCCAUGUCAUCCCAAACCGAUCCCAUCUCCUUAUCCAUCCCGUAUCAAUGUCCCAUCCCUUAUCCAAUCCCAUACCCCAUCCUAAAGCCAUCCCACAUCCAUACCCCCACAUCCCAUAUCCUAUCCCCAUCCUGUACCCCAUGUCCCAUAUCCAUUUCCAUCCCACAGCCUUCCCGAAUCCAUAUCCCCGCAUCCAUCCCGUGUCCAUCCCAUAUCUAUUCCAUAUACCUAUCCCAUCCUAUGAUCAUCCCAAUCCCAUCCCAUAUCCAUAUCCCGUCCCAACUCUACCCCAUAUCAUUCCCAUACCUUUGCCAAAUCUGUCCCGUACCCGUAUACCCACUUCCCGCAUCCCAAUCCCAACCCCAAUCCCAAUCCCAACCCCAAUCCUAAUCCCACACCUCAUUCCCAAUCCCACAUGCCAAUCCCGUAUCCCUCAUCCCCAUCUGUAUCCCGAAUCCCAAUUCCAAUCCCACAUCCCAGCCCCAUGUACCAUGUGUCAAUCCAUCGCAAUCCCAAAUCUCAUAUCCCAAUCCUAACCCCAAUCCCACACCCCAAUCUCAAUCCCACACCCCCAAUCCCAAUCCCAAUCCCAAUCCCAUCCCCUAUUGCAAUAGGGCACACUCCAGGCCCCUCCUCAGCUCCGUCCAGCCCCCAUCUUCUCAUUGGCUGAGGUGCAGCUCUGUCCCGCCCCCGGCCUCUCAUUGGUCAGGUGCAGUUCUGUACCGGCCCCGGACUCUCAUUGGCUGAACUGCAGUUCCAUCCCGCUCCCAGCCUCUCAUUGGUCAGGUGCAGCUCCGUC